AACAGAUUCAAGCUCAAUAGCUUUUCUGUUAAUCUUACCUGUAGUUUCAACAUGAGGUCCCGCACAAAGAUCCCACCAUUCAUCACCAAUAUGAUAAAUGGUAAUUGGUUCCUCCUUUAUGCUCUCUAAAAUUUCGAUCUUGUAAGGUUCGUUGAUAGACAUUAUUCUUCUUUGAGCUUCAUCCCGGCUAACUUCUUCUCUAACAAGAGGCAAGUUUCGGCUGAUAAUUCGAUCCAUUUCCUUCUUAAUCCUCUUCAGGUCACUGUCAGUCAAAGGCUCCAUAUCAAAAUCAUAAUAAAAACCAUUAUCGAUCCAGGGCCCAAUUGUCACUUUUGCAUUCGGGUAGAGUUUUUGGACUGCCAUGGCCAUAACAUGAGCACACGUAUGGCGAAUUCGAAGUAGCCCAUCUGAUGACUCGUUAGUUGGGAGAACCAUUUUCUCAUUUGGGGCAGGAGCUUCUUGUAGGGCGGUGGAAGCAUGGGUAGAGAAAGAAGUGCGACGUCUCAGCAACUUGUUCCGGGUAGUU
rnacentral:misc_RNA from 1 species